UCUGUGCAGCUCCUCGUUCAAACCCACUGGAACUGUUCUGGUUGCGAGGCAGGAAGCAGCUGGCUCGUGUAGCCAAUCCAGGAACGCUAGCAUGGCGGGGACGGAAGGCGAGUUCGGCAUGAAGCAGUUCGAGUACUGGACCAACCGUUGGAACAACGGGGACACGCCGUGGCAACGUGACGGAGUCUAUCCACUUCUAGAGAAGAACCAGGACGUCAUUUUGGCGGAAAAACAGGAUGCCCAGGUCUACGUCCCGAUGUGUGGAAAGGCGGCCGAUUUGAAAUGGUUCUACGACAAGGGACAUCGCGUCGUUGGCGUGGAGUUCAUCGAGGCGGUUGCCCGGAGCUUUUUCGUCGACAACAGCCUUCCUUUCGAUGAAGCCGAGUGCCCUGUACUCAAGUGCAAGAUAUUUCAGACUCCCGACAAGAGGUUGCGAAUAUUCGUCUGCAACGUCUUUGACUUCAACAAGUCCUGCGCCGGAACCAUGGACAUUGUGUGGGAUAGAGGAGGAUUGAGCUCAAUCGACGUGGAACUCAGAGACAGAUACGUCACCUUGAUGAAGUCAUUGCUGUCACCAAACUUCUCCUACGCUUUGUGGUCCACCGUCUAUGAUGAUAGUACUUUCAAUGAUUUUCCCACAAGUAUGCCGGAGGGAGUUCUUCGGGAGCUGUUUGCGGGGAAAGGUAUGAAGCUGCGUCUCAUCGAUUCGAGAAGCCCGAGUUCGCGUUCUCACUUCAAAUCCGGCACUGUUAACCUCUGGCACUUGACGGAAUGAGGGCAAGACCUGGCCUCGGCAGCAUCUGCAGCGACCACUUCCACCACAACCGGAUUGUCCCGCAUCGCGAGAGAGUUGUCUCUCGCUCCAUAAUCCCGCUCUGUCGAUCAGAUACCACCUGGAAGACAAAGCCUGCCUCGUUGCUCACCAAACGUUAUCACCGGUGGAUCCAGCCAGAGCCACCUACUUUGCAUCACCUUCGCAGCCAGUAAGCCUUGGAGCAUCUAACAACGAACACGACGAUGGGGCCAAAUAAACUACUUCAAGAGCGCACCAAGAUCACGUUCGUCGUGUUAGAAACGUGCUUUCACCAAUGCUCUUCCUGAAGAGAUUGCCCCAUGCGUCUACGCUUGCGAUGGCUAAACGGCAAACACACUGCUUUGUUCCCGGAGACAUCAGGAGGCACGUUUCUGCGAGAAAGAAAAGAGAAGAAAGUAUCCCUCUGCGCCGUUCCGGACGAC
rnacentral:misc_RNA from 1 species